rnacentral:rRNA from 1 species
CCUACGGGUGGCAGCAGUGGGGAAUAUUGGACAAUGGGGGGAACCCUGAUCCAGCCAUGCCGCGUGUGUGAAGAAGGCCCUCGGGUUGUAAAGCACUUUCAGUGAGGAAGAAUGCCUGGUGGUUAAUACCCAUCAGGAAAGACAUCACUCACAGAAGAAGCACCGGCUAACUCCGUGCCAGCAGCCGCGGUAAUACGGAGGGUGCGAGCGUUAAUCGGAAUUACUGGGCGUAAAGCGCGCGUAGGUGGCUUGAUAAGCCGGUUGUGAAAGCCCCGGGCUCAACCUGGGAACGGCAUCCGGAACUGUCAAGCUAGAGUGCAGGAGAGGAAGGUAGAAUUCCCGGUGGAGCGGUGAAAUGCGUAGAGAUCGGGAGGAAUACCAGUGGCGAAGGCGGCCUUCUGGACUGACACUGACACUGAGGUGCGAAAGCGUGGGUAGCAAACAGGAUUAGAUACCCGAGUAGUC